rnacentral:snoRNA from 1 species
UUGCUUUGAUGAGGACAUUCCAAGAUAUAGUCUUAAAAAUGUUCCCAUGCCUCGAGCAAUGAUUCAUCAUGUUGUUGCUGAAAGCUUGAUUUUCUCCUAUGCAGAGCAG